rnacentral:lncRNA from 1 species
GUUAUUCUCAAUCUAGUUAUGUCCUAGCUCUAAGUUUCCCCCUUAAAGAGUCUGACAUUUAAGGAUUUAGCUGUUUACAUUUUAUCUCUAAAGCAGGCCCUACCUAUCUGUUAUAUAUAAAAACCUAUGUGUGUACUUGCAUAGUUCAGGAUUAAAAAAUUACAACAUAAAUAUCUUUAUCUCAUUUACCCAGUCCCAUUAUUGUAUUCUACUCGUUUCAGUAGAAAUCAAAAUGUUUAGAGUGCUUCAAUCCUUGCUGGCAAUGUUCCUACAGACCACUGAUAGCAUUAUUUUGUCGAGAGAUCAACUAAAAUUUGUAGAAAAUUAUGAAUUUUU